UUAUUGUUUUCUUGUCUUUCGUUCUUACAUGUAGCGUAAGUACCACAUCGUUUCAGAAAAGCCCCCCAAAUUCUCUGACUUUUUCAGUUCUGUAUCUCGAUGUUAAACCUUCUCUGGGAAUUUUUGUACUUUAAUUGUACUCCCACGCUGUAUGUUUUGUUCUGUUUGUGUUUUGUUUAACAGUUGUCGUGUGUUAACCUUAAGACAUGGUAUACUUUUUAAAGCUUUUUUCAUGAUAUAUAUUUUAAUGAAUUGGUGUGUUCUAAUAUAUUACCAAAGAAACUCUGAAAAAAGAACGCGACACGGCAGUAAUAAAAUGUCACAAAAAUCAGUUCAAUAUCAAUUGUAACAGAAUAUAUUAGGGAGUGGAUUAGAACUUUGAGUGACCUUGGCAUGUGUUUGGUCAGGCUGACCGUCGUCCAGUCUCAGUUUACCUCUAAUCACACUAGUAACAAUACCCAAAGGACAUCAGAUUUUUACGUCAAGCGAAAUUGAACACCUCUUCUGAACGAAAGGUGCCUCAAACUUGAUAUGAUAUUUUACACCCAAUCCACACUUAGAUAGAGAGUUGGACACACGAGCACCGAAGGUCACCCGUGUUAAGGCCAUAGAUUAAGGUUUAUAAUUAGGAGUUUAAUCCCUGUAAACCAUAUUUUGUCUAGAAAGCUUAUCACGUCAAAAUUAGUUAGCGUUAGUUGACGAGAACGAACUGGUUUAUCUGAUAUGAUGUCGACCCGUCUCUCAAGCUUAUAUAUAAAGUAGACUGAAAUAUAAAAAAAAUGUUUUAAAAAGCCUAUUGCCACGACUUAUUGAUGAGGGUGCCAAGUCCGAGGGGACAUGUGUAAGGCAAAUGUUGGAAGGCUGGAUUUGUUUUACGCGAAAUUUUAAGAAUCAAUUGCUCUUGUCGCGUAGGACCUUUAAAUCUGGUGGUAAAUAUUCAGAUGUGUUGAAAUGAAAGUGAUUGGUCCCAUAGGGAGGCAAAUAUUGGUUUCUCAAACAGAAUAAAUAUCAACACAUAGUAAACAUCUCCUCAAAAAAUAAAACAUAGUUCUUUGUAUUUCCAAUUGGACAUGAUUAUUUCAAAAAGAAGAAAGGGAGUUACGUCCCCUCAUUUGACUGUUCUCAGAGAUUUACCCCACCAAGACCAUGUUCAAAUAUUGAAAUUCUUAAAUACCUAUUUUAUUUUUGGUUCACAAAUGGAAAUGUUUUGAUAUUUCUUGAAGAUUUAAUGAAUAUGGUGUUGAUUAUAAACAUGUUGAUAGGUGCCGUUUUAUUUUUUGCUAUCUUGAAUAAACAAUAUUUUAUGCUGAUAAGAAUCACGCGAGGUACAUACAUUGUCAAUAAAUUCUAAACAAUCAAAUGGAAGCCAAUGGUUUAUAUUAAUUCACCUCCCUAAUGGUAGUCAUAGUGCAAAAUAUAAAAUACACACUUCAAAUAGCAGUAGGACACUUAUUAUCUAGUUAAUCAAGAAAAUUAGUAAACUUUCAAAUUUAACGCCUUUUCGUCGCAUAACACGCCUGGUUUGUACAAUAUUUUUGAAAAUGUUAGAGGCGAUUUGUUUAUGAAGUUCAUCAUAAAAAUUCUAAGAUGCUGUGUAGUUUAAUUACUUAUAAUUUACCCAACCGAAGCUACUAUAAUUAAAAUUCAAAUAGUAUAUUACAGUGGUUGUUUUAGAAUGGUUUAACGCGUGCACUUCAGAUCAGAAGGUAUAUCCUUGAGUCAAAUGGCGGGGGUUUCGAUUCCCCGCUUGUAUAUGACAUGAAGUAGGGUCGUGGACUUCCUACGAGUUCUUCGGUUUCCUAAAACUGCUAAAGACCCCUACACACAAGCGAAUUAUUGAAAUAAAAUUGAAUCAUGUUUUUGGUCCCGAAAUAAUCUGGUUUGUGUCAAAUGAACGCUAAACCCUAUUUCUCUACCCCCUCCCUUUCUCACCUUUUUAUUGCAUAUAUUAACAAGGCAUUUCAUCUUCUCAACACAAUAAGUAUCUAUAUUAAUAAGGUUAGUCAUGGCCACGUGUCACAGAUCAAUAUUAAAGCUACUGAAACGAGACCGUCACGGUUUACAUUGAUAAAAAUUAUAAGAUUUGAAAUCGUAUUUUUUGUACCAUCUGUAAACAUUUUCGCUGAUGUAUCGAUUUUUAUUCUCAAUCGAUAUCAGUAAAAUAAUCGCAGUGUAGCGAAACUAUACGGAGAUUUAUUUCAAUGCACCGUUCACAACUAAAAUCAAAUCAACGAUUGAAAAAAGUGACUUGUCUGAAAACCACAAAUUACGUGUGAAGCCCUAAUCGAAUUUCGUUGAAUUAAUGAAUUGAUUGCUUCAUUUAAUAUUCACUAUAGACUAUAAUUAUCAAUAAAUUAAACGAGUACUGUCAUUGAACCAUGAGAAAUUUAAAAACUAAAUGCCACAAAGAUAAAUACAAGUUUCCAGGAAUCAACAAAUUAUUCUGAUGUAAUUAUGAAUGUUGAUUGUAUGACUUUUUCCACGCGUCAUUGAUUCGAAUAAAAUUGAAAAGACGCCAUUUUCUUGUAAUUACCAAUAUUACCGAAACACACAAUAAAGAAAAUUUCAUAAUUAAUACGUUCUCCGCCUUGCUUCAAUGACAAUUUGAUUCCGAGUAUCUGUAAAUAAUAAUUAAUAUUUAAUAACAUUAAUCAAAGUAAUGAAUUACGACUUUAAAUCUGCUUUACGGAAACCACUUGUUACGAUUUAUUGUCGAUAUAACAACGCAACACAUUUCAAGUGUAAGCAUCAAUAUGCAAUUUAAAUAGUUUGCACGUUCGUUGCAUGUUGCUCAUUUUGUAUCCCACAGAUUAACUGAACCCAGCAUCCAGUGUCUGUGGGUACAGAGCCAAUACUUAUUAUCUUGUCUGUCUAUGGUUUUGAUGUUUAUGGCCUGAUGAAUAAUUAUAAAAAUUAGAAUAUAAUUUUCCGAAAAUCAUUGCCAUUCAGUGAUUAUAUAUAAUGUCGGACGUUGUUCAAAGAGACCGACUUGCAUAAUGUUACUUCGCUUUAAAUUAUUCACUGAAUUAUCAGAUGAUUUUUCCAUUUUCUCAAAUUACCAUUAGUUAUCAGAGGUCUUAUUCAACUUGAUUGACUAAGAUUAUCUUAGCGUGCUCUAUCUUUCCUACCAAAUUGUUACAAAGCCUGCUAGAAACUAUUGUCAGACUUUGCCGAACUCUAUACGGUUUAUGUACUUGACAGACCAUCAUGAUGUCCUAUUGUAUGGCGCUCUUACAAUUUCCGUUCCUUUGAGUUUAGUGACGUAAUAGUCGCCGAACACGACAAGCGUGCGCGUGAGGUACGAUCGAGACAAUACUUUAUUAAACGCUUGAUUUCGACUCGUGUGGUCAAAUGACCCAUUGCAUCUCUUAAACCAAUUACUCGCCUUUGAUCCCUAAAGAACAAGAUAUUAGCUAAUCAGAACCAUUUUAAUCAAAAGCUUUUCGGUAACAAUAUAAAGUAUAAAGUUGCAUCGAUUCGACGAUGAUGUGUAGACUAACUAGGCAUAAAUUGUACCACUUUUGUUAAAAAUCGUUUACCAUUCCCCAUAAAAGAGAUUUGAUAAAAAAAAAAUGCUUGAUAACCCUGGAAUUCAAGGAUAACAAGUAUGUCUAAAGCAUGGGGUACGUCAAGGUGACGUCAACAUACCAACUCUAUUCAGUUUGUAUAUUAACGUUAUUUUAUCGCUUUUGAUACUAACACGCGAAUUCAUUGUUUUCAGUGUUCCAAGUUUUUAAUAACAAGAUUUAAAACUUGCAACACGGAGCACUUCAAUUGUCCGACCCUGACAUAAUGCAUACCAAUAAACACAGUGAACACGGCAUUGAAUUCUAACACCAAUCUCAUUUUCAUGUUAGUAACACUGGCAGAGAACAAUUUAACUGUACAAUAGCUGACGGCAUAGAUUGAGUUGAACAACUCGGCUUGCUGCUUUUUUCUUUAUAUGGAUCAAACGACUUUCAUUAAACCCCUAAAAAAUAAGGACUUGAGUGCAGAGUGAGUUGGGUUUUUUGUUGAUAUUUCGACCUUGUAUGAUAACUAAAAGCUGAAAAUAGGAUAAUGAUUAGCAUUGCGGUGUUUUCUUGUCGCUUUCUAUUUUUCAAGCGGUUUUUAACAAUACUAGGCCGCAUAUGUCGAGUAGAGUUUGAGCUGCUUAUACCCUUAACUGAUAGUGAAAACGGAGUCUUUAUUUGUUCCGUAACAGGGGUCAUUCAGCUUGUAGCUGGUUUUAUUCAUCUCUUGUCAGAUAACUGGUUGAUAAAACGUUUAUUAAUUCCCAGGUUUCUCGCAUCGUCAUUAAGCGCACCACUACGUUUUAUAGGGUUUUAUUUGAUGUGUAAUCCGGUGAUUUCCGCAUCACGGGCUAUGAAAUAAUAACUGUUUUAAAUUUUUGGCUACAAGAUUUUUUUUUAUAUUAUAUGUAAGUGCUACUUUCACGUGGCCAAAACCUGUUAAUUAUACAUCCAAACAUACAAUAUCUAACCAACCAUAUCAGUCAGUGCUAAAUUCAAGAAAUAGAAAAGUACAACAAAACUGCUUAACUAUAGGAGAACUCCUCACAUUAUGAUUAUUAUUUAUUAGUAUGCACAUUUUUAUAGCGCAUAUCUUCCACGAUUAAAUAAAAUACACAGGUAAAAUCAAAAAUGUAAAAUACAAAAGAGACAUCUAGAAGUACGGUUAUAUAAUUAUGUGCUUUAGAAUGAUGGCGAAAUGUACCGAAAGUUGAUCUAAGAUUUAUACGGUAUAUUAUUGGAAUUUGAAGUAGAGUACAUUGAUGUUAAUUAUCAAACAGCCACAACUGUCACGGUCUAUUCUAAUAUUCAACUAUGGUUACAUCGGUCUGAACUACAUUCUAGCUUAUCUCGGGUAUAUUUCCUUUUAAUAUCAUUAUGUUCAACUCUUGUUCCAAGGAGGAAACUUUGAAAUUCAGAGUCACGCAACGUUGUCGUCGAACGUUGUAAAAGCUCUAAAGGUCAAUGUUUUAUCUAACUUACCGGAAUGUUCGGCUAAUCCAGAGAAAAACCGCUGUUGAUUUUUCGCAGACAUACAUACCAUGCUUACCCAAACCAUGUUGAUACACUAGGGCCGGCGGAAGCAAUUCUUGGUUGUUUGGGGGGAGGGGGGGGGGCUACCAUCCUAGACCUUUAGACGAGGGUCCAGGGGCCUCCCUGAAGCUCCUUGAGUCUAGAUCGUCAAAGACGCUUUCUGAGCGAUUUCCGGCUAAUAAAAUUACUCAGCAUUAAAGUUAAAUUUUAUUUCUUUUCUAAAUCCCCUACCAUGCAAAUACAGUCGAUGGUGGUUUCCUACAAUACUGAACUUGACAAAUAAAUGCAUAAUAAUACCAUGACUGUGGACACUCUAGACUGUAGAGGUCACAAUGUUUAUAACCGCAUAUAGGACCAUCACUUCCUAUAUAUACAUUUUUAGCUUGUGGACUCCCUAGAGCUCACAGGUUUUAUUUUAUUGAGUGCAAAUUUCGUGAAAAUCGGAUCCAAACUGCCCGACAAAUUAAUGGCCGCUAUCUUUAAAACCAUGUAAUACUAAUACCUAGGUUUUAAAACACGCAGAGGUUCGAAUUUUCAUCCAAUUUGAUAUAUCCCAAAGGUCUGAGUUUCUUUUGAUAUUGGCGCGUAUUGGACUCUAACUUUCUGGAUUAUGACCUCUGAUUGUACGAAAUAUCACGUAUUUAGCGUGUGGAGCCUCAAAACCGUUCAAAUAUCGUUGAGACCAAAUUUCGUGAAAAUCCGACCGAAACUUUCAGUCAAAUGGCGCCCCGCUUCACGCAAAUAAUAUAAGAACAUGUAAUGCCCAGGUUGUGGACCAUCUAGAGGUCACAAUUUUUAUCUGAUUUAGAUGACACUUAAACGAGUAUCACUAGUUCUUGGAUGAGUUCAAUUUUGGUGCGUAUUGCCCCCCUGUCUUGAAUGAAAUUUGUGGACCUUCCAGAAGCGACAUUUUUUUUCCGAUUCAUGAGAUUCAACUUAAACUAUGUGUUAAGGAUCAAAUUUCUUGGAUGAGUUCGACUUUAGUAUGCAUCAGACCUUACAUUCUAGAGGAGCUAUAGUCCAUGCUUUUUAUGAAUACAUUAUUGUUGUCCCAUUCUGAGGAAACUUAACAAAUAUGUUAAGGAUCAAAAGAUCUUGAAUGAGAGGAUAAGCCCUAUUAAUUUUAGCUCUUCCCAAUACAUUUCUUGCAAAAUAUGGGUGUAUCUUGCAUGGCAACCGCUUGUUUCAACUGGUCAUAACUGAUAGCAUUGAAUUAUUUGAUGGAUAAGGGACACAAGGACAGAGUAUGAGAAAAACUGUAUCCCGUUGUUUUUUUUUUUUAAUUACCUAACCUGUCAUAGAUACAACGGAAAUGAGAUUUGGUUGAAAUAAAGAUCGACUGUUUAUUAUAGUUAACUAAUAGUGACCCUCGCAACCCGGAGAUCAGUAUAGAACAUAGCAGGAUUUUGUUCUGAAAGUCUGACUUCUAUUUUAAAAUCUGGCGUCGUUGUAUUUAACCGCGUGCAAUAACUGUUGUCCAAUUUGGACUGUUCACGUAUUUCACCCAACUUAAUUGCUUAGAAAUUACAAUAAAUGUGUUUAAAAAUUCAAUAUAAAUUACUGUAUAUACAUUUAAUUAAAAUAAUAUAUGCUUUUAAACUCACUUUCGUCUAUUUUAAGGUUCGAAAGAAUAGUGUCGUACGCCCUUUAAACGUAGUAUUUUUUUAUUUUUCCAGACUUAAUAGGACUGUUUGACUAUAGCCGUAAAAAGGGACCGUACAAAAUUUCAGAAUCACCCAUCAAUGUCAUCUAUAGUCAUUACCCAUAAUAUUAUAGUCAGCGUGGGGGGAUUGCAUCCCACAUGAUUACACAAAACAAAACUACGGACAAGACACAUUACGCAGGGGGCUAGCGGUAAAGCAAUGCGAUGUUAAAACGUACUCACUCUAUUAGUUACUUUCGUAUUCGUUAUCAAAGAAUAUCUUGAUGUAAAAAUAUGAUGUUCGUCAUGUAGAAUCUAAAACGAAAUUGCCGUUCAGUUGGAAAAUUCCGAUUUACAUAAAGGGUCUGUAGCUCUUGAGCUUACUUUUAUCAUUUAUAAUAUUUUCACGUAUUUGUGGUUUAUGUAUGAGUCUGUCGCUAUAUGUGUAUUUUGUAUAUCAGUACAUAAACAUUUGCUACCAUUUAUAAUAAUUAUGUAAAAUUCUUAUAUGAUGCACGUCAUCAUUAAGUUUUGUGCAUGUUACUUGUGACUGAAUGUUCACUGCGGAAGAAUGUGGAAUAAUUACACUGUAAAUGCUGUUUAGACGUAAUAUUAUUGUUACUAAACAUGGAGACGAAUGUAUUUAUCGCCUAUUCAUUAAUACUAGGCCUGUUUAGGCACUAAAACAUGGCAUCUCCUUGUUCAAGUUUUCUCUUUCGGGGUUUUUAACAUUGUGAGAAAACAAGACAAAUACCCAAAGAGAUAUAAUUUUUAUUAGAACCAUUAGUGUACGACCUCAAAAAAUGACCCCAAAAAAGCUCGAGGCAACUUUUAACAAAUGGCUGUAUGAAAUAUGUUAUUAAAAUAUGAAAAACACGUUCUUUGUCGUUGGUUGAAUUUGAAGUUUUAAUCCUACAGAUAAGUGUCAAACUUGUAUUCAAUUGUUCUAAUAUGAAAACAUUAAUUAUUUAAUCAAGCGGAAUGGUCAUGUUAUUUUGCAUAAGGUUGGACGUGAAGCAACAAAUUGAAAUAGAGACACCGGGCCAUUUAUGUUGUCCCGCCGUCAAUCUAGCAUCACAUGAGAAUAAACAAAGUGACAAAACUUGACAUAAAAUAAAUCUCUUAAUAACGUAGCGUACUGAAAGCAAAUUGACCAUGUCCUGAUUUUUAAUCUAUGCUAUAUUCAUAUUAAAUCCAGUCUUCUGUGGUGGGUUGGUCAGUUUCAUUGAUAUUAUAAUUCAUACAGAAACGAAUAAUACAGAGUUGAUUUUGAAGAAGAGGGCUGUAGUUGUUUGCUGAGACUUUUGUGAUAUAUUUUGGUAUAUUUUUUAGAAAAUGCUAUGAUAGCUGAAAACAGCUGUUUCUUUUCGCCUCCUUCGUCCACUAACAAGGCCGAUAUAACAGACUUCCUUAAUAUACCGAAACAUAAAAUACACACACAUUGCCAUACUACAGUACUAACCAGCAAGCUACUGCACAUAACUAUAGUAAAGGACUCAAUUCUUGACUUGUUGGUUAUACAAUUUCGUUAUGUUAAAGGAAAAUAUAAUGAUAUGAUUAAAUUAACCUUUGUAAUUAAAAUUCACCUGCCGCUAGAUGAAUAUAUAAUAAUAUAAUAACUGAACAGAAACGACAUGUCGUUACCAAACGCCGACUUAUACAGCCUAGUAAAGUGGUUAAUAUUAGAGACUGCUAGAAAUUCACACUAUAUAUGCACAGAAUUCAUGACUGUCGCAUAUGCGUCCAUCUCAUAUUUCUGUCGCAUACACGGCUUUUUAAAACCGGAAGCCGAAGAUAAGAAAUUCACUUUGCGUUUUCUCUUUUUGGUUCAAAUAGGGUUUUGUCAAUUAGACGGAAGGCGAAGAUACAAAACAAACUUUGUGUCUUCGCAUUCGCCUUUUUAGAGGACUAAUACUUAUUAUGGCUAGAGUUACAUCUUUGACCAGUAUUGAACAACGGCUAAGGUGCGAUGACAUCACAGAAAGACCCGAAGAUAUGAAGCAAACGUUUCCUCGCAUCUUCCCCAUCAAUUGUUUCUCCAUGCUCAUUAAUUUCGCCGCGUUCCUUGCAUCUUCGCCUUCAACCUAUGCUACUGAAACGCGCGAAGACAAAGCUGCAAGAGACGAGAGAGCCGCGAUAGGUCAGUAAGGUCUCGGGUUCGCUUCCCGUGUUUUAGUUUCAAAAUAACUCAACGAACCUAACAACAUCGUAAACACUGUUGGUCGAUGAUUUUGUAAACAAAAAAUAAUCUUUUCAGAUUCGAAAAUAUUCAAUGCGCAAGAAAGAAAUAAUAUUAUACUCCCAGGUUAACCAUAGUAAAAAUAUGAACUAUCAUUCCAUUUUUAUGCAUUUUUAUAUUAUUCUAAUAUUUAAUAUUCAUAACUAAAACAUUAAAGAAUACAAUAAAAUAUGAAUAUGUUAUAAAACACACCGUUAAAAUGGGUUGAGUGGACCCUGUAGGAAUACUCCAAUCAGCCCACCGCGCCGUCAAAUGUUCAUGGGGAUAGCAAUAAUUGUUUCUUAUAUAAAAAAAUAAAAUGUGUACCGUGAAAUAUUUCUUUUAUGACGCAGGUGUGUGUAUUUGACUACAAUCAUCAAACGAUAAAUGCUUAAUAACUAUUAACGAAAUAAUCGCUAUAUAAGGAUCAGGUACUGCCUAUAAAAUCAGUUUGAAUAAUUUUACGAUAUUAAUACCACCCGUUAAUUCAUCGGGCAUUAUUCUACAAGUCGUUAGACCCUGAUUAAGUUGCAGAUCUUCGCUGGAGAGAAACACGUUGUCGCCCUUGCUGCAUAGCACUUCCACUACACUUCAAAUACACCAUAAAGUUUGCUCAUGCAUGUAAUGUCCAAUAACCCAUUGUACCUACCUAUAUGAUCACUGACCCGUACCUAAAUAAGUGCCAUGCCCAAUCUGAUUUUUAAUUUUUUCUCUCUAUAGAUUCUGGUCAUACGAUUAACAUAUCAUUCAUACUGAAUGACCGAAACUGCAUCCUAGCAUAAAAUUUACAUAAACCAAACAAAGAUCCUAAAUCCGCUAUCAUGAUUUUCUUUUGUUUGUUUGUCAUACCUAGCGCUACUCUGGUAAAACCACUGAUGUUAUUGUUGUCAUUUUUGUAUUAUUAUGUGACAAUUAUUCGUAUGAUAUCUUUUAAGAGAAAAUGGAAUAUGCAAAUUUUGUAUUUGGCUUUUGUAACUCUGUUAUUAUUGGUUUAUUUUGUUUCCAUUUUAGUCACGUCAUUAGUAAAUAGUUCAGUGGUUAUUAUGAAAUAUUUUAUUAAUUAAUGUGCCGUCGAUAUCAAAGAUGUAUUCAAAUUAUGGAAAUCAAGGUUCCGACUGAUGAAACUUACACGUGCACACCCUCACUGUGGAUAUACAAUACUCUGAUUUGUGUAUAGAUAAUACAUUAAAGUAAAUGUUUUAGAUUUGGUUCAAAUUAAAAUACACGCGGCUUCUUAUCAGUGUAAACUCACGCUCCAUUAGGCAGACUGAGGCUGCAUCAUGAAAUGAUAGAGGGUUAAAACGCCAGUCGGGUACAUGGAGACGGGCAUGCGCCAUGCAUUGUGAUAGAGGGAAUUUUGACUGGGUAGCGACGUAUCCGCCUCAGGGGCGUACAUGUCGAUUUUUUUUUUUUUGGGGGGGGGGGGUGUUUAGAAAAAUCAUACCACUGAUGCCCAUCCCCCUAAUACGGGUGACGCAGCCGCGGGCCGAGCACUAAAGGGGGUACGGAGGCAUACUUCCUCGGAGGAAGUUUUGAAUCUAUGGUCCCAGAAAUGCCAUUUCCUAGAUUUUGCAGAAUUCUGAUGGUCUGAAAACACUAACAUGAGUAAGAUUUUUGCAAGAACGUACAAAGUACUGUGAAUCUGAAACAAAUUAUAAAUGUGAUAAUUACAUAAUUUACAUGGACCUAUAUGUUCGAUAUAUUGUUGUGGUGAAUAUACAUAAAUUAGCAAAGAUAUGACUAUGUCCUCAUAUUUUCACCAAGCGUCCACGCUUAGUAAAGUUUGACCACCGAUCGGCGAUUUUGUCAAGAUCCAUCGUGUCCGUCAGGUAAAGCUCACUCAGUAGUUCACUGAGGAGUUCAUACAUAUAUUAAGUAUUUGGGAUUUUUCCCUUCUAUGUUCGAUCACGAUAUUGGUCGAGCAAGUGUUUGGUUUUCUCUUUCCAGGGGUGCAGGAUGGAGGCCUGAAAUGACACAAAAGCGUUUUUCGUUUAUAUAGGACGAAAAACCAAGGUCCUGUGUAUACGUUGACGGAUGGGAUUUGGAGAAGAGUAGGCAGAAACGUUGCUAUCUGGGCAAAAUUUGCUUCAUAGCACACUGCAUAGUGUAUUCCCGUCUUUAUUAGUCCGUUGGUUCAGAAAGGUAGAACGGUAAACCACAUUUCAUUUCUUGUCUCGACGCUAAUCUCUGGGUGAAAGAAGCAAACCACGGAGUGUGUUUACUCUGUGUGACCAAUCAUUGCUGCACUGUUCAUCUACAAGAUCUUGCACAUGCAUGGGUGACAAUAUUAUACCGUUAACGAAUAGUUAAGAUCGUAAGCCUUCUAACGUACGGUAUAGUUCAUAUUUCUAACGGUUCAUUAAUUACCAAUAUUUCAGCAGUUUUGAAGCUAGAUUGCUUGACUUUAGUAAUGAUUUCUUCUCCUGCAGAAUCUAUUGAAAACAGUUGUCGAGUGGUGUGGACUUAAAUCACAAACUAUAAUCACUUGUGUAAACUUUGACUGCAUCACCUGGGUUUAUGUUUGAAGACUUUAUUUGAUUAUUUCAGACCUAGGUUCACUCUCAUUAAAUUGUACGUCCUUUGCUCGCGUUAAAGAAAGGAUUCUACAAUAUAAAAGAAUCUAGAUCAUAUUGUAUUCAAUAGAGAUAAUACGAACAAAGAACAAUAUGGAAGAAAAGUUCCAUGUAGAUGUCUAACAGUGAUUUACUUCGCAUCAGAAAAAAUGGGAAAUAAAACGUGUUAAUAUAAAAUAGAUAGAAAACGUGUUAUAAUAAAAUUAUCGAAAUAAAAGGUAUAUUCUCCACGAAAGUAUUUAUCGGGUAAUUAUUUCCAAUAAAAGUAUUCUAUAUUUGAUGUAUGGAAAGUAAAAACAUAGAAAUGUAAAAAUAUAGAAAUAAAGUGUUUUAAUGUAAAAAAUGUGCCACCCACAAAAUUCGCCAUUGUACACUUAGUGUGCAUUUGGAAAUAAGAUUUAUUAACCAUAGUAGUUUGUUAGUAGCGCAAAUUUUGUGGGUGGCACAGGGAGUCGACGAAACGUUUGAGACAGUCUCCGGUAUAAUCCGUUUCUGCAUUUACGCCUUAAACAGAAGCCUUCUUUCUUUCUCCCUCAACUGAGUUGUAUUUAUAUUUAGUUCAACAUCAUAUUUUACCUUUAGCUCACUACUGAAAUUAGAGCAAAUCUGGGCAGUAAAUAUACAGUUUGAUUCACGACCCUUGGUUCGGAUAUAAUCUCGGACCACUAAAGAUUACCAUAAAUUGUUAAACGGUUGGUAACGGUGCAGUAUAACACUCUUUCUUGUACGUUACUUCCAGUUUGUGCAUCUCAAGAUUUCUAUGGUGAACCCCAUUCUUGUCUUUGAACAGGACUUUGCGUCAUAAUAGAAAGCUUUCAAACAAACAAACAUUUGAGAACAACUUAUGCUUUGGGCUAAGACACGAGAAUUAAUAUUCAAAUCAAUGAGAAAAAUUAAUCGUUUAUUAUCUGUGGCCUUAAAGAGAUCCAUAUAGGCACAGUCUAAUAUAAUGUGCAGUGAGCAGCAUUGUAACUAAGAAUCUCAAAAAUCUUCUGAAACUGUAAUCAAAGUUAACUGAAAGCCAUUAAAUACAUCGAAUAGGCCGAAAUUAAUUGCAUUGUUAACUUGCUCAUAGUAUGAAUAAUAAAAUCACUGUCAAUAAUUGGACACACCCAUUUACCUUGUUAUAAGUACAAAUCGCUAUCUUGGGGGAAAAACUACUAUCAACGCAUGCACGGCAUCACGUGUGUGCAGUUAAAGUCUCGUGUCCUGAGACGACCUCUUGCGACGAGAAGCGCGGUAAAAUGAGAGUUGCCAUCAGUGGAUGCAAUAUUAUCCAGCAUCUGGCUCUUUGAAUUCUCGGCGUUAGUCGAUUGUUAUCGUGGGCCACACGUCUAUCUAUAUAUAUAAACAAUAGCAGGCUAUCCUAUCGAUCAGCCACAGUGGGAUUAAACACUACGUUUCAAUCAAGACCAGUUUGUAGUCGUUGAUCGGUUCCUGCAAACGUGCUGCGUGCGACGGAACGGAAAUGUUGCACAUCUUCCACACGCGCUUGUCAAUCAUAGUAUGAGAGUUGUUAAACAGUGAUUAGUGGUUUUGGAUGAACGCACGUUUCCUGCAAAAAAUGCCAUGUAAUUAGUUUAUUUCACUGUCUAAAAUAUCAAUCGAGCUUAUUAGUAGCGAACUGGUGGGCGAUGUCCGUUGACAACUUUUUUCAUUGUAGGAUUUCAACUAUGAAAAAUGACGUGUCAAAAACAAAUGAUUAAUCAUUUUGUAAUUACCGGGGUUGUUUUCAAGAAAUACCCAUAAUUUGUCAACUGAUAAUUUUAUUUCUGGUGCCAAUUAAAAGUUGAUCUAUUUUGUAAAAAAAAUAGUGUAUAGAUUAACGAGAAAGUUCUUGGUUUAUUCUGUACAAAGUCUUUCUGUUCACUGAUGACUUUUGUAAUCACUGGCCAUGUAGAAAACAGCCACAUUCCUAAUAUUGAGAAAGCACAUUAAUGGAACCCAGAUUUUAUGGGAAUCCACCAGCGAUUGAUCCCCAUUAAGGAUCUCCGUCAUGUAAUUUCAAUUCGUUUUAUAUUCUGGCCUAAUACUAACCAACAAACAGUAAAACAUGAAAAAUGAAACUACAUAAUUCAAAAAAAAUAUUGAAGUACACAAGUUUAAAAAAUGAAAACAUGAAAUAUUGAACCGGGUGUACAUUAUUAGGAUUUCCCAUAGAAUCUCUUCAAUAGAGAAGUGAUGUCAGGUUUUUUAAAAUCAUGUAAACAUGCCCUGCCUUUAGCAUACCAUAGAAUAUAAGCUUCAAACGUAUAGGAAUAACUCUAUAAAGGGGAAGUGAUGUCACGUAUUCUAGAACAAACAUUUCCUGCCCCGCACACGACACUAAUUAUAGCGAAAUUUGGUAAAACGCCUAGGUGUCAAACGUCACCAGAGUCAACAAAAAAACAUAACAAAAAUGAAGGUCCAUGAACUCCUCAAAAUAAGUAUAUUCUAUCAGAAGCCGCGAAGGCUUGAUAGCCACUCAAAGACACCAGCAGUUCAAAGCCUAUGUCAACUCUUCAAACGCGUACGCGUUUCUUUUGAAUUUCGGAAUACACUUCGCGAUAAGGCCAACAACAGUGCCACAAGCCAAUUAGUUUAUUAAUACAUAAAUGUUUAUUUAAAAAACCUAUCUUUGUUGUUAUUGCGGGCGACGAUCUUCGAAAAAAGCUUAAGACCAUCAAUUCGUAAACGCUUGAAAUGAAACUUGACAUGAUUGUUCCUUAGACGAUUGAUGGACUUCGAUGGUUGAUAUGACGUCAACAUUCCAAGAUAUGCGAUGACGUCAUACUCCGUUCCUGUUCCAGGCGCGCUGGUAUUUGUUAAUUAACUCCUUCAGGGUCACUAAUGACGAAAAGCAAUAUAGAAAAUAGGCAGCAAUUGACAAAACGGAAUAGUAAAUGUGCAAGGAACGGAUGGUGGUUUAUUUGACAACACUCUUAUCUAUUAUUACAAACAGUCAGUCUACAGAUCUGUUGAAUUAUGUGUUGCGAACCAGUCGGCUUACCAUAAUACAAUUACUGCUUUUACUGAGUGAUUUCCACUGGGCUUCUCUAGUCUUUAUCUAGGGAACUCUUAGUCGGAACGUCGAUCGGUAAUAAACAGUAAUUAUAUUCCAUAGCAUUAUGUCUUGUGUAUUUCCAAAUCAAUUGCAAAUUGCCAUUGAUACAACCGUAACAAUCUGGAGUUAUAAUAAUUUACUUUAAUGAACCAAACAUCGACGUCUUUAUGUUUGUUUCUUCUACAAAAUAUUUUAGAAAAUAUAAAUACUUCAAUCUCUCGUUGGGAGCAUUAAAUUAUGUUUGGGAUUAUUAAUUAUAAUGGGCUUGAUAUUAAACAUUUAAUAUCUAACUUAUUUAUCGGCAAUUCAUAUUCCAUGCUUUAAAUUGUUAAUAAUGUUGAAACGAUAGAGAUGACGUUGAUGUCUUUUGUGUUCUGAAGUUGACAGGUUAAAAUACGUAGGGUGUCUGCGGACAUUAUGUUUUAUAUUUUCUACAUAGACUAUAUGACACUAGCUAUUGUCCUGGCAGGUGAUAAGGUCUUCAAUUUACUAUAUUAUUUCUGUAAACAAGAUUUUACAAGAUCCUUUGUCGCUAGCGGACAAGGUGUUGGUGCAUUCAUUUUACAGCCUCGGCUAAUCCCCACGUGCCAGUCUUAUGACAGGCGCGUGUAGGGCAGUGUAACAUUGAAAGACGGAGCAAGAAGUUGGAAUAAAACAUCUAUUUUCUCUUGUCAUUUCUCGUCAACCAAUGACAGGUCUAAUCCUAGAGCUGGAUUAAUUUCGAAUCAGGUUCGUUAACGUUACAACAAACUUGGAAAUCAAAACAAACUUUAGACAGAAAGAGAAGCAGGGAAGCGUCGAGGAACGUCGUUCGACUGGUCUAAUUAUCCGAGGAGUGCCGAAUUCUCCACUGGUGUGUUAAACAUUUGUAUUGUAACUGUAAGUCUGUAGAGUAAGGUAACAUAUCAUUUAUCAACCUCUCUUCGUUUGUCAUUUUACACAAGACUUUUCAGUAACACCAGCUCCGAUUACAAAAGCAAUUACAUCGGCAUAAGUCUAGUUAAUUAGGCCUAUCUUUUCCAUAUUUUCGAGAUUAAAGUCGACAUUGAAACACGAUCAAAUUGUACCAAAAAUGACAUAAGUUUUCAUGAGUUUGGUAUCGUGAAUUGUGUUAGUGACAAUAGAAUACCGGUCAAUGAACUAUAUCAAAUGUAACUCGAUUACCUGUUGACGUGAUGAGUAUUAGCAUUCGUCAGAUAAAUAUUUCACAAUUAUCAUGGAUAUUAACUAUAAUAAUAACAUUGUCGAAUAUUGUUAUAUAGAGUUUGUCAGAAUUCCAAAGUUGCCCCGUUUGAGUUGAUUGGCAUCAAGCACACAAGACUAUACGACUUAUAUAAAGUAAAUCCCAGAACUGCCUAUACUCAAGGGCAACAAAAAUACAUCAAUCCCAAUACUGUUCAUUCUAAAGAGCAAUCAAAAUACACCAAUCCCAGUAUUCUCUAUACUAAAGAGAAAUAAAAAAACACAAAUCCCAGUACUGUCCAUUCGAAUGAGCAAUAAAAAUACAUUAAUGCCAGUACUCCCCAUUCGAAAGGAUAAUCAAAAUACUAAAAGCGAAAUAGUGAAAUAUAAUUUAAGGUCUAAUAAUAUUCCCGUACACAACCAUUGUGCUUUAUGAGAAAGUGGCAUCAGGUGUUCCGGGAGUGGGAGGCAUGGCGGAAAAAAUAGUUUACGGAUUUCGUCAGUAUCUGGCAAGUGAUAUUGUCAGUAUCGGUGCUUGGAUAUAUGGAAUCAAUACAGUAACUAAAUUUGAUUAGCGAUAAGACAUCAUCUGCAUUUCUAAGAGUUAAGUACACGUUGAUGUUCAUUAAAUCUUUCUUUAAUAGUUUUUAUUUGCUUUACGCCCGUUCAAGACCAUUCAGCUGUUUAAUAACACCCACCGCGUAGUUUUACGUAAUUAAGGGCAGUUCGGAGAGGAAGUAUUUUCUAAAUGCUUCUCAUUUAACCAUGACAUAGAUUUUGAAGUAAUUUUCGCUAGACAGGAUGGAAUAGUAUGUAGAUAUACUAAGACGUAAUGAAAACGCGCCACUUUCAUAAAUGGAUGAUAGUAAAUCUCGUUUUAGAGAUACACUUUAAUCUUGUAAUUCUGAUUGUCAGCCCAUUAGAUUACAACGAUAACACGCGGGAAUUACGUUUUCACGAACGCAUAACUGCACCACAUAUAAAUUACGAAUUUAUGGUCCCAACACAUGAGGUAUAAAGUGUGGCUUUUAAAGAACUAGGGUCAGUACAACUCUUACAUCUCUGUGCAGGGUGCAUUGGUAUGCUUAGGUUGACACCUGAACAAAAGGGCAUAAGUAGCAGAUCUUUUGCCAGAAGGCUUGGGUGUCAUCACAAUUCCGUCGAGAGACUGGCAAGUCGUUUCCAAAUGACAGGGAUUACUAGGGCUCGAUCAAGGCCAUGACGGCAACGUGUGACAACACUUCGUCUCUUUAUCCAGCAACAUCAACAGGGUGCAAGCUUCCAUCACUUUUGCUACUAUGGCUGAUUUUCUUGUGUGGGUAAAUAUCCAGCCCACAAUCAUACCAAAAGUCACAUUUUAGCUGCAAUAUGUCUCGUCAGUCAAUUCAGUGGUGCGUUUUUAUUUCGUCUUAGUGGUCUAUAAUGUAAUUAAUCAAACAAAUUUCAUUCAUAAGCUGUUAAUAUAGAUAUCUUCAUUAAAAUUAACAAAUAAAUUUAAGCUAUAUUUGACACAAAUCAUAUGCCUAUACAGCUUCGUCUGUUAAUAUUUAACAGCCGCUUCCGUAGAAAAUAAAAUGAAUAACCUGAUUUGACUUAUUUUUCGUACCCCUCCCUUUUUUAAAUUAUAUAUAAAACCGAAUUUAAAAGCAAAUUUAAAUAAGAAAGGAAUAUAUUAUUCAUAGUUGUCUUGAAAUAUCAGCGAUAUAACUGAUGGAAAACUAGUUCAUAUAUCAACUGAUAAAUGCAUAUUAUAUUGUUAUUGCUACAGUAUUAGAUUUCACCCCAAAACAUGACAAAGUAGGAAUAAGGUUGUUUCUAACUUGCUUAACUGCAGGUCCGGGUUCGACCCCGGUGUUGGCUGACAAAGUUUCUCGGGAUAUUCUGGCGUUGUUUCCCCUUGUCAGUGUUGCAGUGCCAAGGGCCCGACGAGGAAAGGCGUCUCUACGGUCGCCAAGAUGUGAUCAAAAACUGAGGUCCCGUGUACACUUUGGCGUGCACGUUAAAGGACCAUAUAGACAGUUGCAAUUCGAAACAAGAGUAGACUGUAGCGUAGCUUCCCGGUACUCCCACCCCAACCCCCCGACGGAACACUGCAUGGCGUAUGUCAGGCUUCAUUAGCUUAGAUAGAGUCGAAAAGUAGGACCUCAAACCAAAUUUCUGUAUCUGGAAUCAUGUUGAUGUGAUGAGUACUAGCACCCGUCAGAUAAAUAUUUCACAAUAAUAACAUUGUCGAUUAUUGUAAAUAUUUCACAAUAAUAACAUUGUCGAUUAUUGUUAUAUAGAGUUUAUCAGAAUUCCAAAGUAACCCUGUGUGAGUUGAUUGGUAUCAAGCAUACAAGACUACACGACUUACAUAAAUGCCUGGACUGCUCAUUCUAAAGGGCAACAAAAAUACAUAAAUCUCAAUAUUGUCCAUUCGAAAGGGUAAUCCAAAUACUAAAAGCGAAAUAGUGAAAUAUAAUUUCAGGUCUAAUAAUAUUCCCGUACACACCCAUUGGGCUUUAUGACAAAGUGGCAUCAGAUGUUCCGGGAGUGUAAGGCAUGGCGGAAAACAUAGUUUACGAAUUUCGUCAAUAUCUGGCAAGUGAUAUUGGCAGUAUCGGUGCUUGGAUAUAUGGAAUCAAUACAGUAACUAAAUUUAAUUAGCGAUUAGACAUCAUCUGAAUUUCUAAGAGUUAAAUAAACGUUGAUGUUCAUUAAAUCUUUCUUGAAUUCUUUUUAUUUGCUUUACGCCCGUUCAAGACUAUUAAGCUGUUUAAUACCCCCCUCCGUGUAGUUUUACGUAAUUAAGGGCAGUUCGGAGAGGAAGUAUUUUCUAAAUGCUUCUCAUUUAACCAUGACAUAGAUUUUGAAGUAAUUUUCGCUAGACAGGAUAUAAUAGUAUGUAGAUAUUCUAAGACGCAAUGAAAACGCACCACUUUCAUAAAUGGAUGAUGGUAGAUCUUGAUUUAGUGAUACACUUUAAUCUUGUAAUUCUGAUUGUAAGCCCACUAGAUUACAACGUUAACACGCGGGAAUGGCGUUUUCACGAACGCAUAACUGCCCCACAUAUAAAUUACGAAUUUAUGGUGCCAACAUGAGGUAUAAAGUGUGGCUUUUAAAGAACUAGGGUCAGUACAAAUCCUACAAUUCCGUGCAGGUCGCAUUGAUAUGCUAAGGUUGACACCUGAACAAGAGGGCAUGAGUAGCAGACCUUUUGCAUGAAGGCUUAGAUGUAAGGCUAUCAAUAUAGAUCUCUUCAUUGAAAUUAACAAAUAAAUUUAAUGACACAAAUUAUAUGCCUAUACAGCUUCGUCUGUUAAUAUUUAACAGCCGCCUUCGUAGAUUAUAAAAUGAAUAACCUGAUUUGACUUAUUUUUCGUACCCCUCCCUUUUUUUAAAUUAUAUAAAACCGAAUUUAAAAGCAAAUUUAAAUAAGACCGGAAUAUUUUAUUCAUAUUUGUCUUGAAAUAUUAGCGAUAUAACUGAUGGAAAACUAGUUCAAAUGCACAUUAUAUUUUUACUGCCACAGUAUUAGAAUUCACCCCAAAACAUGACAAAGUAGGAAGAAGGUUUUUUUUCUAACUGGCUUAACAGCAGGUCCGGGUUCGACCCCGGUGUUGACCGAGAAGGUUGCUCGGGAUAUUCCGGCGUUCUUUCCCCUUGUUGGCGUUGCUGUGCCAAGGACCUGCCGAAGAAUGACGUCUCCAUGGUCGCCCAGAUGUGAUCAAAAACCGAGGUGCCGUGUGCACUUUCGUGUGCACGUUAAAGACCAUCGUCAGUUGGAAUUCUAAACAAGUGUAGGCCGCAGCGUCGCUGUCUCGGUACCCCCCCCCCCCCCAAACCCUCCGAUGACACCCUGAAUGGCGUAUGCCAGGCUUCAAUUAAGCUUAGAUAGAGCAGAAAAGUAGGACCUCAAAUCAAAUGUCUUUUCUGUAUCUGGAAUUUCUAAAAAUAUGUUAAUGUGAUGAGUACUAGCACUCGUCAGAUAAAUAUUGCACAAUAACACAUUGUCGAUUAUUGUUAAAUAGAGUUUAUCAAAAUUCCAAAGUUACUCUGUUUUUGAUUGGCAUCAAACACACAAGACUAUACUACUUAAAUAAAGUAAAUCCCAGGACUGUCCAUUGUAAAGGGCAACAAAAAAAUAUUGUCCAUUCUAAAGAACGCAAUCAUUCCCAGGAUUCACAACACCAAAGAGCAAUCAAAAUACACCAAUCCGAUUAAUCUAUAUACUAAAGAGAAAUCAAAAUACACAAAACUCAGUACUGUCCAUUCGAAUGAGCAAUCAAAAUACAUUAAUUCCGGUACUCUCCAUUCGAAAGGGUAAUCAAAAUACAUUUAUCUCAGUACUGUCCAUUCUAAAGGACAAUCAAAAUACAUCAAUCCAGGUACUCCCCAUUCGAAAGGGUAAUCCAAAUACUAAAAGCGAAAUAGCGAAAUAUAAUUUAAGGUCUAAUAAUAUUCCCGUACACACCCAUUGUGCUUUAUGAGAAAGUGGCAUUGGAUGUUCCGGGAGUGGGAGGCAUGGCGGUAAACAUAGUUUACGGAUUUCGUCAAUAUUUGGCAAGUGACGUUGUCAGUAUUGGUGCUUGGAUAUAUGAAUUCAAUACAGUAACUAAAUUUGAUUACCGAUAAGACUUCAUCUGAAUUUCUAAGAGUUAAAUAAACGUUGAGGAAUAUUAAAUUUUUCUUUAAUUCUUUUUAUUAACUUUACGCCCGCUCAAGACCAUUCAGCUGUUUAAUAACACGCACCGUGUAGUUUUACGUAAUUAAGGGCAGUUCGGAGAGGAAGUAUUUUCUAAAUGCUUCUCAUUUAACCAUGAUGUAGAUUUUGAAGUAAUUUCCGCUAGACAGGAUGUAAUAGUGUGCAGAUAUACUGACGCAAUGUAAACGCACCACUUUCAUAAAUGGAUGACGGUAAAUCCCGUUUUAGAGAUACACUUUAAUCUUGUAAUUCUGAUUGUAAACCCAUUAGAUUACAACGAUAACACGCGGGAAUGACGUUUUCACGAACGCAUAACUGCACCACAUAUAAAUUACGAACUUAUGGUGCCAACAUGAGGUAUAAAGUGUGGCUUUUAAAGAACUAGGGUCAGUACAAAUCCUACACUUCUGUGCAUGGUUGACAUCAAAACAAGAGGGCAUGAGUAGCAGACCUUUUGCCUGAAGGUUUAAUGUCAUCACAAUUCCGUUCCGAUACUGGCAAAUAUUUUCCAAAUGACCGUGAUUACUAGGGAAGUAGGGCUCGACCAAGCCAUGACGGCAACGUGUGACAACACCUCGUCACUUUAUCUAGCAACAUCGACAGGGUGCAAGCUUCCCUCACUUUUGCUACUAUUGUUGAUUUUCUUGUGUGGGUAAAUAUCCAGCCCACAAUCAUACCAAAAGUCACAUUUCAGCUGCAAUAUGUCUCGUCAGUCAAUUCAGUGGUUCAUUUUUAUUUCGUCUUAGUGGUCUAUAAUGUAAUAUUAAUCAAACAAAUUUCAUUCACAGGCUAUCAAUAUAGAUAUCUUCAUUAAAAUUAACAAAUAAAUUUAAGCUAAAUUUGACGCCGCUUCCAUAGAAAAUAAAAUGAAUAACCUGAUUUGACUUAUUUUUCGUUCCCCUCCCUUUUUUAUAUUAUAUAUAAAACCGAAUUUAAAAGCAAAUUUAAAUAAGAACGGAAUAUAUUAUAUUCAUAGUUGUCUUGAAAAAUCAGCGAUAUAACUGAUGGAAAACUAGUUCAUAUAUCAACUGAUAAAUGCAUAUUAUAUUGUUAUUGCUACAGUAUUAGAUUUCACCCCAAAACAUGACAAAGUAGGAAGAAGGUUGUUUCUAACUUGCUUACCUGCAUGUCCGGGUUCGAUCCCGGUGUUGGUCGAGAAAGUUGGCUCGGGAUAUUCCGGCGUUGUUUCCCGCUUGUCAGUGUUACGGUGCCAAGGCCCCGACGAGGAACGGUGUCUGUAUCUGAAACCUCUUAAUAAAUAUAUAAAUAGACAUGUAUAUGGUUGUAGACUGUUCUAGGGCUGGCAUUCCUGAUAAAAUGCCUUAAAAUGAUGAAAAUGCGAUUUUACGGGUUCCUGGUAACAAUUCGACAAGAUUGUUUCUGCGCAUGUCUGUGAAAUGAUAUACUUCCUUCUAAUAAUGGUUUUAAAAUAAUGGAUUUAUCUGAAAUUUGAAUAAACAUUACCCGUGAUUUUCUCAAAACACUUUGACGGAACUUUGAUAUUGAAUUAAUUUACAAAAUUAAGGAACUACCAAUAAACGCACAUUUUGUGUGAGAGGUUAUUAAAUAGGAUUAUUUUUCAAUUGUUCGGCUAAUCACAGGGGAAGAACCAGUCACCUUCUAGAUCGAAUAUUAGAGUACUUUUGUUCUUGUCAUCGUUUAGGCUCAUAAGUUUUGAAUACUUCGACAUGAUUCGAGAAGAUAUGUCAGUGAUCAUUCGCCUGGCAAAUAAAAUAGGGCCAAGGACCUUCAUCGCCCAGCGGUAAGGAAUAUAUGUACAUUUAAGAUAACUCCAAUAUUGUUAACGAGGAUUCGUAACUCAAAGGGAGUAACUCCGGCAGUAAUUCUAAAAGAUCCCUCUUAUUCAACACCAAUCUUCCUAUUAAUCAACUGGACAUUCUUUUAAAGUACUAUAGAUGAAGAACAGAAUAUUUGUCUGGCAUUACGAAAAUGUCUAUCUCCCACAUUGUUACUAACCAUGAGCCACACCAAACCUUUUAUUCGAUAAUUACCUCGGACCUCUCCACACCGAACUACUUUGGGGAUGGUCGCAGGUAAUAAGAGUAGUAUGUAUAUGUGUUAUUUACACUCGUACAAAUGAAGAUACCAAAAGGGUUAGUUGCUUCCUAUUCGGAUUUGUUCAAAUAUACAGUCACUUAACCAAAACGUGCAUUUUACUGAAGUUGGUAGGUAUGUUAUUUCUGUAUUGGUGGUUCUUAAUCAGAGUUGUUCACAUGAUGUGGUGGUUCUUCCUCAGAGUUGUUCACAUGACGUCUAUCCAUCUUGAAAUGGACAAAUUGAUAAGCUUCUUCAUUAUUCAGAAUAUUAAACUACACCAAAUUAAAAUCUAGAAAGAUAUUGUCGGACAAACUAUUUCUGUUGGUACAAAUAUACCGUAGUACAAUCCUGUUCGCCACACUUUGUUAAAAACCGUCCAGACACUAAACGCAAAUACAACGAAGAAGAUGUUGUAAAAAUGUUAGAAUUCCUGGGUAUUUUAGAGGAUAUAUCUUUUCUAUGUAAAUGUUAAUAAAUCUCAAUAGAUCUCCAUUUCUUUCAGAUUUAUUUCUGUAUGUUAACGUGUCCGAUUAUAUGCACUGCUUCGUAAAAGGAAUAAAAAGCUUACCAAAUCAUCCGAUUUCACUCGCAAAUAUACAAAGUGUGUCUUACCGGUAAACACGUUUUUGGGUUAGUGAUUUCAGUGAUCACUGAGGAGUUAGCGAUGAAGUAAGAUUCCAGUAAUAACUACUCGGUGUUCUACUUGGACUUACAUCGGCUGAUCAAGAUUGGCCGAAAUCAUAAACUAAGUGAUUAAUUCUCAGAUAAAUGUGAUUUUAAUUUCACCAUCGUAAACAUUUUCGUAAUGUAUAGUAACACACUGCAGUCCCCAGCCUGUGGUGUUCAUAUUUCUAAGGCAAGUUUAUUUACCCAAUUGACUUAAGCCUAGGACGGGACACAGCAUAUGUACAAUGAAAACUAACCAGGUUUCUAAUUUUACUUUAUAACUUCAGUAUACAUUUUGUGAUGGUUUACUUAUUGGGAGUCUGAUAUAUCCACUAUCUAGCAAAUGUUUAAAAUGAUUAAAUGAACUUGAGCUUAUUGCAGGGACAAACAUAUUUUAAUAAAAUAAUUUUUGUUUGAAAUUCUUUAAGGUUCCUGAAAACUAAUCUGACAAAAACUAUACAUACGCAUAGAAAGAUAGUUUCUUGAUCUGUUAUCCAAUAUAAAGUAUUUCUUUCAUAAUGUGGAGUGUGCUUUUUGUGUAAUUGUACUGAUCUGAAAGUAAAAUCACAGAUUUAAUGACCCGUUACUAACAAGUAUAAUUUAUAAAUUGGUACCGAAGUACGCUUACGUUAGCUUGCGGGGUUAAUUUGUCGCGAAAAUUUAGAGAAAACAUAACUGUCCAGAAAAAAAUCAUAACAAUGAAAGCACGUGUUAACGAUAUGGUCAAAUAUAAUUUAAUGUACGCCUUUAUGUUUGACAGGACUGGCAUCUGCCUAUAAUAAUAGACCAGUGUUGCAGCAUCGUUACAAAAACACCACCUUAGUCGACCAGUUCACGACGUGACCAUACUUCACCCGAAGGCCAUUUUGUGGACUCGCAUUCUCACUCCCCUAAAAACGACACCAUGAAUAAAGAAAAGAAAAUUAUUGUUUCUUUCGAAAAUUAUGUUAACUUAAGUCUCUGUAUAGACUGUUUACUUUCUUUGACAGUGUCUGGUAUUGGUACUAUACCCCACCUUAAUUGCACCUCCAUUAUUGCAGUAUUGUCAACAUACUGCUUGUAAUUUGUGCAUUGAUACCCACAUUUCUUAAGAUGUUAUUAUUAGACUAAUAUUGAACAAUACUUUGUAAGGGUUCUGUUCACACUGCACAGUCAGUACAAAUAAUUACUGUGUAGCUCCGCAGGGUAUUUUAUUUUAGUCCUAUAUUUUUUUCUGAUUUCUAAAAGACACAUUCAAAAUAAGGAUAAUGGUAUUUUCCCCCCAGUGGCAUUAACUGUUUGGGAUAAAUGCUAUCUGGUAAAAUUUCUUUGAAAAUCCAAAGUAAAUACAUUUUCGUUGUUGAUAUGGUAUUAAUUGUUUAAUUGUUGUCGGUUUCCAACGAUAUAAAGUGCAGAAAUUGGGAUAUAGAAACUUCUAAAAUGUCUUCAUAUCAGACAUUAAUUAAAUUGUAGUCUGUGUACAAUGAGGUUCGGGUACUUUAGAUACAAAGGUUACCACUGCAUUCAAUUUUCAAUUUGUUAAACUGUAAUUUUGGCCAAUUAACAAAAACAUCAUGACCUGUACAUCCAUGAGAAAUUAUUUAAAAUUUCUAAUGGUGUUUAGGCUGCUGCAUCCUUAGGUCUAUCUUCAUGACUAUUCAGAUGAUUGUUUUUGCUUACUUGUGACACUAGCAAUUAACCACAUUCUAAAAUACAAUACAAUUUAUUAUAUGAUGUCAUAUUCGCAAGCAGGUGGGGUUGUACAUGAGGUGGAAUAUAUGGAUACAUUUUCAAGAACGCCUUGUACCACGCCUCAAUUAUUUGAGAAGCUAUGCUAAACCUUUUUCUCUUUAAAAUUGGAAAUAUCCUGUUUUCUACAUGGUAUGUGUAUCUAUAUAACUAAACCAUUUACAUCAAUAGCGGAAUGGGAGACGAUUAAAAAGUAUGUGUGCCCCUCCUACAUAAUAGACCUUUAACAAAAAGGUCUGAAUGUGAGACCGUUACAGAAUUAUGUGAUCCUCCUACAUAAAUUGUACUUUAACAAAAAGGGCUGAAUUUGAGAUCGUUACAGAAUAUGUGUGCUCCGCCUACAUAAACUGAACUUUAAUAUAAAGGGCUGAUUGUGGGUUCGUUAUAGAAUAUUAAUUGUGCUCCUAUAUAAAUUGAACUUUAACAUAAAGGGCUAGGUGUGAGAUCGUUACAGAAUAUGUGCUCCUUCUACAUACAUUGAUUUUUACCAUGAAGUGCUGGGUGUAAGAUAGUUACAUAAUAUGUGUGUUCCUCCUACAUAAAAGGCUGGGUGUGAUCACAUCCUACAUAAAUUUAACUUUAACAUAAAGGCUAAAUAAGAGAUCGUUAGAAAUAAUGUGUUCUCCUAUAGAAAUUGAACUUUAUCAUGAAAGACUGGGUGUAAGAUAGUCCAAGACUCUUUGUGCCCAACCAACAUAAAUUGAAUGUGAGACAAUUACAGGGUGUUUUUGGUAAAAACAACAAAAAUGCCAAGUCUCUGAUAGCGUACUUUUCGGUUUGUCUCAAAUGCUUUGAAUUAAUCUAGAAAAGUUAAGAGAUGUUUGGUCAGUUUGGGAAGUUUGAAAACUUCUUAAACCACAAUAUUGCGCAAGUUAGUUUUCUAUAGGAAAUGUCUGUUCCUUAUAGUAUUUUGAAACAUUUGGCAUCAUCUGCGGUGUGCAGGAUAUAAACAAGCCAAAGUCACCUAUAAGUAUUUUGUAAAAUCUUUCAAUUGUCUUCCUUUUAAUCCGACAAUCUACCUUUGAUAUUUUAGUUUGGGUUUCUUACUUAAAUGUUAAAUAAACUUUAUGAGCACAUUUUGGCGUGGUUUAAGCCUUGAAAAUAUAGACAUUGUGCAAUGCAAAUGACUAUCAGGGGCUCAAAAACACAAAUGAUCAACAUCGGUAAAAUAUGUUGAUUUUGGCCUGCUGGAAUGGAGGACUGACCUAUCGAAGGGCCUAUGUAGUGGACCAUAGAUUUAAGAUGGUAACGACUGCUAUUCUGCUUGUCUGCGAUAUUAUUUCAUUAAAUAAAGCUAUUUCACGCACAUGUCACGCAGUGCGUUUUGACAUUUUAAAAAGUCAAUUUUACACAAUAUUAUUAUAUUAAUAUGUUUUUUAAAUAAAUGUAUUUAAUACCCUC